UACGUAGGGUGCAAGCGUUAAUCGGAAUUACUGGGCGUAAAGCGUGCGCAGGCGGUUAUGUAAGACAGGUGUGAAAUCCCAGGGCUUAACCUUGGAACUGCAUUUGUGACUGCAUAGCUAGAGUACGGUAGAGGGGGAUGGAAUUCCGCGUGUAGCAGUGAAAUGCGUAGAUAUGCGGAGGAACACCGAUGGCGAAGGCAAUCCCCUGGACCUGUACUGACGCUCAUGCACGAAAGGCGUGGGGAGCAA
rnacentral:rRNA from 1 species